rnacentral:lncRNA from 1 species
CCUGUCUAUAUUGUUCUCAUAGGAAAAACAUCCUCUCACCAAAGUAAAUGAAUGAUAAUUGUGCAAAUCCUUAGGUAUGUUUCUGAUUUUCAGUUGGUUAUCUUUUUUACACUGUCCUUUUGUUGCAGAUUUGUGGAGACUGAUAAUCAAAACGCCAAGCAUUGAUGAGCUUGUAAAAAAACCAGAUCUUUUGUCAUUUUACAUCGGAAACCAACUUCCAGUAUCGGAACCUGUGAGACAAAAAUUGCUGGAGAUUAAUGGGGUUUCGUAUCGCCUACGAAGGGAGAUCCAGCUUCUAAAGGCCUGUGAUCUUAUAAAAUGUGGAUACUGCAAGGUAACAAUCUACUGUAUCUGGAGGUGAUAUUUUAACUAGUUUCUGACUGGUAGUUAUAUCUUGAUGUUGAUCCGGUUUCACUAGUUCGUGGUCUGUUGCUUCCAUUAAAAAAAUAGCCUCUCUAGCUCACCUGUAUCACACAUUGUUUUUAAGGCGUCCCGCCUUGGACGCUUAGGCGAUAAGGCGCCCCACAGCGCCUUACAAAUACGCCCGCCUUAGGCGCUUAGGCGUCGCCAGGGCAAGGUUGGUAUACUAAGGUUGCCACACUUUGUCAUGCCUAAGGUUGUGGCCUGACAAAGUGUGGCAACCUUAGUAUACCAACCAAACAUGCCCUACAUAUUUCACUGAAUCUUUACUGGACAAUGCCAACUUUGCCCUGUCUAUAUUGUUCUCAUAGGAAAAACAUCCUCUCACCAAAGUAAAUGAAUGAUAAUUGUGCAAAUCCUUAGGUAUGUUUCUGAUUUUCAGUUGGUUAUCUUUUUUACACUGUCCUUUUGUUGCAGAUUUGUGGAGACUGAUAAUCAAAACGCCAAGCAUUGAUGAGCUUGUAAAAAAACCAGAUCUUUUGUCAUUUUACAUCGGAAACCAACUUCCAGUAUCGGAACCUGUGAGACAAAAAUUGCUGGAGAUUAAUGGGGUUUCGUAUCGCCUACGAAGGGAGAUCCAGCUUCUAAAGGCCUGUGAUCUUAUAAAAUGUGGAUACUGCAAGGUAACAAUCUACUGUAUCUGGAGGUGAUAUUUUAACUAGUUUCUGACUGGUAGUUAUAUCUUGAUGUUGAUCCGGUUUCACUAGUUCGUGGUCUG